UACAGAGGUCUCAAGCGUUGUUCGGAUUCAUUGGGCGUAAAGGGUGUGUAGGUGGCGCGCUAAGUCGGGUGUGAAAUUUCGGAGCUUAACUCCGAAACUGCAUUCGAUACUGGCGUGCUUGAGGACUGGAGAGGAGACUGGAAUUUACGGUGUAGCGGUGAAAUGCGUAGAUAUCAUAAGGAAGACCAGUGGCGAAGGCGGGUCUCUGGACAGUUCCUGACGCUGAGGCACGGAAGGCCAGGGGAGCAAACGGG
rnacentral:rRNA from 1 species